rnacentral:lncRNA from 1 species
CUUUCUCUCUCAAUCUCUUUUUCUUUUUAUCUCUCCUCACCAUCUCUCUCCCCCUUUUUCACUCUAAAUCUUUCUUUAUUACUCCUCACCAUCUCUGUUUUGCUCUCUCUCUCUCUCUGUCUCUUUCUCUCUCUCUUGCAAGUGUGCGUCAUAUACAGGAAAAGUGUCUUAUUCCCCUGUGGAACUCAAUCUACCCCCUACACCCCCCCACACACACUCACCUGCAGAAUCAUAGCUCCUCUCUACUCAUCACCCUCUGUGUUUGGCAAAACGUCCGACACUCUCUCUCGCUCACACACACACACACACACAAGAGCACGUCACACUUUCUGAGUAAGUGUGCGCUUCAGAGCAACGGGCAGAGAGAAAGAGAGAGAGAUACAGAGGGAGGGGGAACUAGAGAGACAGAGAAACAGAGAAAAAGCUACAGAGGGAGACAGAAAGAAAGAUAUAGAGAAAGAGAUAGAAAGAGAGACUUACAGAAAGAGAGGAGGAUAGGGAAAGAGAGAGAGAUAUAGAAGUAGAGCAAGAAAGAGAGAGAUACAGAGGACGAUACAUAUAUAGAUAGAUAGAAAAAGAGUCAGUGAGUAAGAGAGAGAGAGAGAGAGUGAGGGAGGGGAUAAAGUCUUAUUGUUCUCGAGCAGCGUGUAUUGGAGGUGUGGCAUCUUCCGGGCGUUGUCGUGGAGACGGAAGGCUGCCCGGGCACUGUUCUCUCGCUCUCUCUCUCUCUGAGCUGAUCACCAAGACACUGAUCGUGGGGAGGCUGAUCCUUAUGGCAAGAUCCGCAGCCACAGUCACGCGUGAUACCCCCUACCUUUGGUUUGGAUCUCCCACCAACAACCAAUAGAAGAAUCGUAAUUUAUAGCCUACCUGUGGGCCUACACCUUUUCAAAUGGAAGAAGCCCCCAAAAUACUGGUGACCCUGCUACUAGAUGGCAGGGAGAUAUGCAAGAAGAUACAUCAUCUCAACAGUGCUGCAGAAAUAAUCGAUGGCUGCAAGCACUUAUUACCUUGUACUGCCGAAUUUCAUAGAAUUCUAAAAUUCAAUCCUGAUUUUAACGAAUAUAUCGACACAGACCUUAACGACAGUGUCCAAAGCUUUGACAAGUUUCAAGUUUUGUUCAACUCAAUCACGCCAAGUGGAACACUGCAGUGGGCUGGGCAGCUUAAUACAGAUGCCGCUGGUCCGAGUAACCAAAUAAAGGUUGGGCCACUCAAUAGAGAUGUAGCUGGUUCAAAUAAUCAACAGCAGCAUGGUCAAGGUCCAGUUAAUGCAGACAGACUGAGAGCGCUCAUUCAGAUCAAAGGACCGAGCAUACUGGCUGAUUAUGAAGCUUCAGGAACGCUGUCUGAGACAUCACGAAAACUUCUGGUGAAGAUUGGUGUCGGUGACCUGGUGGAGCAGAGAGGAUUUUACCCGUCAAAUGAGGAAAAACUGAUGUUAGCAAAGAAUGUAGUAACAUUGUUCCCAUCACUGAAGAUUAAGAUGGGAGAAGAGAAUGAAGGAUUUGAGCACUUCUUCGACCCAGUUUCCCACAGUGGAUUUAUUGAAAUUAAACUGAGAAAUCUACGAAGAAGCCUUCACGAUAGUCAGCGACGCUACCGCCGCAAGCGGACCGUGCCCAGCAAUACAUCGUUCCAUCCAGUUUCCACCCCCCUGCAAACACCUGCAGAAGAGGAAGAGGAGUCCACGGUGGAGUGGAUGACAGCAAUGAAAAGGAUGAAGCCAUCUCACGAGAACUUCUCAACCAUCAAACUGGGCAUGGAGAAAACAUUUGACAGCCGCAGGUUCUGGAUUGUAAACAGCUCGCCGACAGCGGAAGAGAUUUUUCAGCAAUACCCUCAUUUUAUAGACAUGCCAUACUUGCUUGACAUUGAAUUUGAGAAAAUGUAUCCGGGGAAGGCUGAUCUGUUCCUUCAAAAAUGGGAAGGAAGUAUUGUUCCAAAAUUACUGAAGAUGGCCACAAUGAAAGACAAUCCCACUUUCCUGCCCUCCACAGCUGAGAGUGAUGGGCCAUGCUUCAGAGCUCUUCAGAUGCUCACGUAUCUUUUGCCUCCUACUGCGUCUGGAAGGGGAAAAGGCUGGACUAAAUGCAGUGUGAAAUCAGCCAUAUCUUAUAUCUUGGACAUUAAGCCGCCUGGAUCAAGCGGUUCCAGACACCUGGAUCCUGACAGAGCGGUGAAAAAUCAGCAACCUCACCUCCUGUGUUUAGGCGACCCCAGCACUACAGCUCAGUACAUCAUCGUGGCAGAGAACAACAAAGUUGCCAUUCCUCUUGAAGAUAAUAGUUUGACGUGCGCCAUUGACAAACUGUUUAAAAUGUAUUGUGUUUGUAACCUGGCGUAUCCUGCACAACUCACAUCAGUCUUUAAUUUCUUUGAGCAUAUUUAUGAUAUGCCUAUCUCUGGUGGGAAGAGAUGCAAAGUGGUGGAGCUUAUUGCAAGGAUCCAAGCUAUGCUAUGAGACAUACUGCUACAUUUCAAAAGUAUUGAAGCAAGGGUUUGUUAUGACAGAACCUGUCAUGCUUAGUCAUCCUACGUAGGUUAGGUUAUACUUUAUUGAUCUGCAUUCAGGGGAAGUGGGGCAGUCAUUUUGUUGUCGUACUGUGCCCAGCAUAGAAGCAGCACAGCAUGGCCAGGUUAGGUUUCUUGACUAAGGGCGUGACUUAAUAAAUAUACCCAGAGAGUAUUUGGUAUUUUUAAA